rnacentral:rRNA from 1 species
UGCCUAGUAACGGCGAGUGAACAGGCAAGAGCUCAGAUUUGAAAGGCACUUUUGUGCCGUUGUAUUCUGAAGUUAGGGUCCUGAGAAACGAUGCUUAAGUCUUCUGGAAAGGAGCGCCAUGGAGGGUGAUAGCCCCGUCUAGCAUUGACCUCAUAUAGGAUCUUAACAUGGAGUCGAGUUGUUUGGGAAUGCAGCUCAAAUGGGUGGUAUGCUCCAUCUAAAGCUAAAUAUCUGCGAGAGACCGAUAGUAAACAAGUACUGUGAGGGAAAGAUGAAAAGAACUUUGAAAAGAGAGUGAAAAAGUACGUGAAAUUGUUGAAAUGGAAGGGUAGGCCGCUAACCAUGUAGAGCCGUGUUUGGGGGGAAGAUAAAUGCUGUAGAAUGUAGCUCCUCGGAGUAUUAUAGAUGCAGUUCAUAUUCCCACCCGAGCGCGAGGAUCUCAGGUUCUACUAAAUGGUGGUCUACCACCCGUCUUGAAACACGGACCA